UGCUAUACUUAUAAAGUUGAUUUGUUGCUUUGAAAUCUAUUAGUUUGGGUCAUCGGCAAAGAUCAACCCUUGGUGCUUAGCUUCUUUCACCAAGCAUAUUAGACGCGGUAAAACCGCUAAAGGAGAAAACGAU
rnacentral:ncRNA from 1 species